rnacentral:tRNA from 1 species
GCGGGAAUAGCUCAGUGGUAGAGCAUCACCUUGCCAAGGUGGGGGUCGCGGGUUCAAGUCCCGUUUCCCGCUCCA